AAAGGAUCUGCUGUGCCUGAGGAGGGCGCUCUGCUCAACUUGUGACUUCCUGUUGUUUCAUUGUACAUGUGCUGUUGUGUGUUUGCUUCAGGGUGUUGAUGCUCUUAGCUGCCUGUUCAUCUGCCUAUUGUGUGCAGUGUGGAUUUUGAGUUGAUAAGGUCACCGUAGCCACUAGAUCCAGUACGUAUCCAGCCCAGAUGGUGGAUCAGCACCUAGAAAGGACCUCUACAGCCCUGAAAGACAGCGGAGACCAGGACUAGAGCCCCAGAGACAGAUCCCCUGUAAAGACCUUGUCUCAGACGACCACCGGGACAAGACCACAGGAAACAGAUGAUUCUUCUGCACAAUCUGACUUUGCUGCAGCCUGGAAUUGAACUGCUGGUUUCAUCUGGUCAGAGGAUAACUGGCCCCCCGACUGAGCCUGGUUUCUCCCAAGGUUUUUUCUCCAUUCUGUCACUGAUGGAGUUUUGGUUCCUUGCCGCUGUCGCCUCUGGCUUGCUUAGUUGGGGACACUUCAUUUACAGCGAUAUCGUUGACUUGAUUGCAAAUGAUUGCACAGAUACUAUUUAAACUGAACUGAGCUGCAUGAUGACAUCACUGAAUUCAAUGAUGAACUGCUUUAACUGUCAUUUUGCAUUAUUGAC
ensembl:lncRNA